rnacentral:rRNA from 1 species
GACGAACGCUGGCGGCGUGCUUAACACAUGCAAGUCGAACGGAAAGGCCUGCUUUCCCUUGUGGAUUGCGGGUACUCGAGUGGCGAACGGGUGAGUAACACGUGAGUGAUCUGCCCCCAACUUGGGUAUAAGCCUGGGAAACUGGGUCUAAUUCCCGAUAGGACUGCAGGGUGGUGCCUGUGGUGGAAAACGAUUUUCUAGUGGUUGGGGAUGAGCUCGCGGCCUAUCAGCUUGUUGGUGGGGUAAUGGCCUACCAAGGCGGCGACGGGUAGCCGGCCUGAGGGGGUGGACGGGCACAUUGGGACUGAGAUACGGCCCAGAAUCCUACGGGAGGCAGCAGUGGGGAAUAUUGCACAAUGGGCGGAAGCCUGAUGCAGCGACGCCGCGUGGGGGAUGACGGCCUUCGGGUUGUAAACUCCUUUCGACCGCGAGGAAGCCACCUGGUUGGAAGGGUGGUGACGGUAGUGGUAGAAGAAGCACCGGCUAACUACGUG